CCAGACGGGAGCCGGACAGGAGAGGCACCAAACGCACCUAUGUCUCCUUGCUGCCAAACAGACAUGACUCUUUAACUUGGAUCCAAAAAAGCAGCCCUAAUUGAAGCAGAUUUCCCCCACGGCCUGGAAAAGAAGACCAGGACAGCAUCGCACGGUCGAGGUAGCGAGUGCCGGUGUUGUGCGAAAUUCUGUUCCCCUGAAAUAUUCUGUUCCCCCUGUGUCGGGAGCGCGCACUGCAGCCAGAGAGGCGGAUCCGACCUUCUUCACAGCUUUUCUGAUCGAUUUGUCGGUAAAACGACGAAACGUAUUCAUGUCAAUGUUGUUACUUAAUUUUUAAUCAACAGCUCCUAGAAAAAAUAAAUAAAUACAAAAUGAA